rnacentral:tRNA from 1 species
GCCGGGGUGGCGGAACUGGUAGACGCGGCAGAUUCAAAAUCUGCAGUCCUUUAUGGGCGUGGGGGUUCGAUUCCCUCCCUCGGUACCA